rnacentral:rRNA from 1 species
AGUGAACGCUGGCGGUAGGCCUAACACAUGCAAGUCGAACGGCAGCACAGUAAGAGCUUGCUCUUACGGGUGGCGAGUGGCGGACGGGUGAGGAAUACAUCGGAAUCUACUUUUUCGUGGGGGAUAACGUAGGGAAACUUACGCUAAUACCGCAUACGACCUACGGGUGAAAGCAGGGGAUCUUCGGACCUUGCGCGAUUGAAUGAGCCGAUGUCGGAUUAGCUAGAUGGCGGGGUAAAGGCCCACCAAGGCGACGAUCCGUAGCUGGUCUGAGAGGAUGAUCAGCCACACGGGAACUGAGACACGGUCCAGACUCCUACGGGAGGCAGCAGUGGGGAAUAUUGGACAAUGGGCGCAAGCCUGAUCCAGCCAUACCGCGUGGGUGAAGAAGGCCUUCGGGUUGUAAAGCCCUUUUGUUGGGAAAGAAAAGCAGCAGGUUAAUACCCCGCUGUUCUGACGGUACCCAAAGAAUAAGCACCGGCUAACUUCGU